CCAAUAGUGCCGCAGAGAAACGCAAUCACCAUUCCGCCUGGGGAGUAUUCCCGCAAGACAAAAAACACAAACGAAUUGAGGGGGGGGCCGCACACGCGGUGGAGCAUGUGGUUUAUUUUGAAGCAACGCGAAGAACAUUACCAGGUGUUGACAUCCUCUGACAAUCUUAGAGAGAGGACGUCCCCUUCGGGGGCAGAGUGACAGGUGGUGCAUGGUUGUCGUCAGCUCGUGUCGUGAGAUGUUGGGUUAAGUCCCGCAACGAGCGCAACCCUUGAUCUUAGUUGCCAGCAUUCAGUUGGGCACUUUAAGGUGACUGCCGGUGACAAACCGGAGGAAGGUGGGGAUGACGUCAAAUCAUCAUGCCCCUUAUGACCUGGGGUACACACGUGCUACAAUGGACAGAACAAAGGGCAGCGAAACCGCGAGGGUAAGCCAAUCCCACAAAUCUGUUCUCAGUUUUGAUUGCAGUUUGCAACUCGACUGCGUGAAGCGGGAAUCGAUAGUAAUCGCGGAUCAGCAUCCCGCGCAGAAUAAGUUCCCGGGCCUUGUACACACCGCCCGUCACACCACGAGAGUUUGUAACACCCGAAGUCGGUGAGGUAACCUUUAUGGAGCCAGCCGCCGCAAGGUGGGAGAGGAUGGAAU
rnacentral:rRNA from 1 species